UUUUUGAGAAAAAAAAAUGCUUACAGCAGGUGUAAUUUUAUAAUUUUCAUCAAAUAGCAAGACAAUUUCUAGUAAAAUACAAUAACUACUGAGAUUGUACUAAAAGACAUGAUUUUAUGAACUAAUGUGACAUGAUUCUCAUAAACCACCUAAACCAGACUGAACAAUCCAAGCCAACAAACGGAAUACAAAAACAUAAGUUGCUUUUAUAACAGUCAAUAUCUGUUCUCCUCUAGAGCAUUCACACGUACAAAUGUGAUUUACAGGGCAACUCACAGAAGAAAUACUCUUCAGGUAUCAAUAUUUACAGAUCCAAACAUGAAAUAAGCAUAAUCAAGUCAUGUCUUUAUCGUUCUCUAUGAUAAUGUAACAGGUAGCAAGAUCAAGCCACACCUUUAUAACAUAUUGUAGCAUCUAGUUCAAAUAGAACUUUCCUUCCUUGUCUUUAGUUACUUCAACCCCAAAAUUCUCUUCUUUAAUUCCGCUCCUUACUUUCAGAAGCAGAUCAAAUUUGGCAUAGUCUUUAAUUAGCUUGGCUUUAGCUUUAAGGAUCUGCAUGAGUUCAUAUGGGGACAAUGAAUUGGAUCUCUGCUGGAUGAACUUAACAGCAUGAUUUGCUGCAUCUUGGACCUCAGGAUCUUUUGUUGGCACUGCUCGCCAUCCUGAUCCAUGACCAUCUGGUUGCAGGAGUGUACAACUUAUCACUACUACUCUUUCAAAUACCCUUAAUGUUAGAUGUUAUAUUUGAAGUCAAAGUUAAAAAUAGGACUAUGUAGCAAGUAGUUUAGACUAUGUUUCCAGGGAAUGAAGAUGAUGGCAUUGGCCUAUUAGGAUACAAACACUAACUUGUUUUUCACUUGCAUGAGUAUAUCAUGGUUCUUACAGUCAUAUAAUACAGAAUGUGAACUAUAUAAUACAGAAUCCCUUCCAAAUAAUAAACCAUCAUUAGGAAAACAACAUAAUAAGCAUGAAGGUGCAAGGUGCAUUAAGGCACAAAGGGUACCUAGGGCCAAGAUACAUGGCACAAGCACACACCUAAGAGAUGUGAGGAACACGAACACUUGAAUAAUGCUUUCAAGUUGCUAGUUAUAAGUGAAUAGUAAAAUGUUCAAAAAUUCAUAAAUAAAACACAAAUAGAUUCAAUGCUACAAAGAAAAUAACUACUAUGAUUCUAAGAUUAGUUCAGCACAUGUCUUGUGCUCACUAGAGUGAAAGAAAUCACAAACACACAGGAUCACAAUAGCAAACUCUAAAUUCCAUACUCAAACUAUGUCUGCACUCCAAAGAUGACUAGUAAAUUAGUUCAAGAAAAAACCGGUGUACUUACAAGACUACAAAAGAACAUAGUUCAAAAGAAAUAAAAAAUAUCACAAUAGCAAACCCCAAAACCUAGUUUCCAAAUUAUUCAUAUUAAAAUAAUAGCACUAUUCAUCAUCAUCAUCAUCAAGUAAAAGAUCAUCUUCAUCUUCUUCCCAUCAUUACAAUAAAGGCCCUCAGCAGUUCCUCCAUCCAUAUCUUCUAAGUUAGUCCAUUUCCUCUACCAUCAAACUAAUCAACAAUCCCGACAGAUGAGUUCAUUAGGAGAGAGAGAGAGAGAGAGAG
rnacentral:misc_RNA from 1 species